rnacentral:rRNA from 1 species
GCUUCUCUUGAGAGCGGCGGACGGGUGAGUAUUGCCUAGGAAUCUGCCUGGUAGUGGGGGAUAACGUUCGGAAACGGACGCUAAUACCGCAUACGUCCUACGGGAGAAAGCAGGGGACCUUCGGGCCUUGCGCUAUCAGAUGAGCCUAGGUCGGAUUAGCUAGUUGGUGAGGUAAUGGCUCACCAAGGCGACGAUCCGUAACUGGUCUGAGAGGAUGAUCAGUCACACUGGAACUGAGACACGGUCCAGACUCCUACGGGAGGCAGCAGUGGGGAAUAUUGGACAAUGGGCGAAAGCCUGAUCCAGCCAUGCCGCGUGUGUGAAGAAGGUCUUCGGAUUGUAAAGCACUUU